AAGGAGGUGGAAAUUCUUGAUUGACACUUUCAAACAGAAGGCUAAGCUUGGGAUGGAGCACGUGCAGGCGUACAUAGAUUCAAUUGAAAAGCGGCAAGAUGAAGAUGACGAGCCAGACUUAAACCGCCCUCAGUCAGCGAGUGACUCCAUUGUUGCCGAUGAGUUACGAAUUAGCUCCGCUGAGCUGGAGUUUAGUGAUGGAGAAUCAGAACAAGAUGAUGAUGAUGACCAUGAUGAGCUGAGCACUGCCCGAGCAAC